GUAGGUGCUGAUUAGGGCGAGGGUCCACCCGUUCCCAUUCCGAACACGGAAGUUAAGCUCGCUUCUGCCGAAAAUACUUGUCUGGAG
rnacentral:rRNA from 1 species